GAUGAACGCUGACAGAAUGCUUAACACAUGCAAGUCUUUGGCGAAGCUGUGCUUGCACAGCCUAGCCAAGGCGGACGGGUGAGUAACGCGUCAGGAACUUGCCCUGCAGUCAGGGAUAACAGACGGAAACGACUGAUAAGACCUGGUAAAGUCAGGCGGACUCAUGUCCAGCCUGAUGAAAAGAGAUGCUGCAGGAGAGCCUUGCGUCCGAUUAGCUUGUUGGUGGGGUAACUGCCCACCAAGGCGAUGAUAGGUAGCCGGCCUGAGAGGGUGGAGGGCCACAAGGGGACUGAGAGACGGAGCUUACUCCCACGGGAGGCAGCAGUGGGGAAUAUUGGACAAUGGGGGCAACCCUGAGACAGCAAUUCUGUGUGAAAGAUGAAGGUUUUCGGAUGGUAAAGUGCUUUCGGCAGGGAAGAAAAAAAUGACGGUACCUGCAGAAGAAGCGACGGCUAAAUACGU
rnacentral:rRNA from 1 species